ensembl:lncRNA
AUGCUGUCUUAAGGAGAAGGCUGAAGAAGAGAAUGUGGGACUUCUUCCUUUACUUGUAAUUACCUAGAUAAUUACAUUAAGCCCAAUUUAGUGUAAUAAAUCAUAGGCACAUUACUAAUACUACUAAGCAUUCCUUAGGUUGAUGCAGAUAGUCUAUAGGAUAUUCCAGUGCAGCAAAUGAUGUAGAUCAGGGAAAAACACCUCUUUCUUUUAGCAGAGUGUGUGCCCAGCUCAGAACGGGAACUGCUGUGCAUUGGAUGGAGCUGUCCCAGAGCUGCCCCAGAGCUGCCCCUGGUGCACCGCGGCAGAAGGAGAGAGGGAAGAGGCUCUGUAGGAGCUGGUAGGGAUGGGGCACCCAACACCCAUCGGCCUCUGGGCAACCUGUGCUGCCUUUAGCAUGAAAACCUUUCUUAUAUCCAAGUGAUGGUGCUGUGGGUCUGAAGGUGGGAGCAGGGGCGCUUGGGGGAUAACCCCCAUCUGCCCUUUGCCAUAGUGUGAGUGCCACAGUCCCACUGGCAGCGCUGCAUUCAGUAUUUGUAGUGGUUGGAAACAAAGCAGACAGCCCCCAAACCCUGCACGUUCCUAUUUUUCCUUUGGAUCUGAGCAGGGACCUCUCCGACGGCGCAAGGAAAACACCGAGGUUGCCAAACUGAGCGUUGAGAAACAGGGAAAUAUAGGAGUUCGAGUGCCUGUGCCAUCCUCAGCUUUCCCUGUUUCCCGUUUGCUGUGAUUCUUGACUGUGCAAACACAUCCUCCUCUUUCCCGGAUCCCCUUAACCCAUUUACUCCCAUUUACUCCAGCUUCGUUCUUUCUCCCAGCAAAAGGAAUCCGGCUGCUGGGCGGAUCGGAGCCGCAACACCCAACCUCCGCCUUCGUUGGGCAGCAGUGCCACGGAGGGACGAGCCCUGAGCCCUCACCAAUAAAGCAACCGGUGGCAAACACAGCCCCCUUCCCAGGGCCGGAUCAGCUGCCCGCUGUCGGCUCAGCCUCUUUUCCUCCGGGAUGCGGACGGGUUGCACGGGGGGAGGCAGCGCGGCGGCCGCGGGGCUGUGC